AGAGUUUCGGUGUGGAUUACCUGUUGCCACAGCGAUCUUUGCAUGCAGAGCAGAUGUGCAUACGGAGGUUGAGAAGACGGUCUUUGGGUAUAGAUAUUUACUGAAUAACAAAUUUUUUCUUUUGAAAUAAUAGUACAUUAUUAGUCCUCCCAAAUAAAUUACUUGUGUACUGAGAGAGACCGUCUCUCUGGGUGGAUCAUUAUUUUUUUGUUUUAUUCCUAUUUGAGCUGAGAUUUCAGUGUUGCCACUGGGGGAAAACGCGUCUGACAACGGUGGUGGGCUUUUCCAUUUCCACAGAGAACAUGUUCUCACGGUGGCUCCCGGCAGCCUCUGUGGGUGUCUGAGAGCUCUUAGCAUCAAACAUCCUUCUCCACAUCCGCCUCAGCUUGGCGGACGUCCACGUUGGAGCCCACUCCACCGCGUAGCUCGGAUUCUGUUAGAAUGUCUUUCUUUCUCCCAUUGAGUGUCUUCUUUCUCCUUUUUCCUCAUUGACUUAAGAAAGCUCAGCAUCCUUUCCAAUGGGUCUCAUGGGCGUAACCAGAGGAAGCAGAGGAGGGAGAGAGACACCUGGAGGCUGUUGGUGGGGGACCGGUGGCCUGAGUAGGGCAAUGCUGUGGGAGCACGGGGAGAUGCUUUUCUUUGUUUCUUAUCCCCCCAAACAAAGGUGACUUAAGAUCUUUCCUAGAGACCGUUGCCUCAGCCUUGGGCAUUCUGUAAGAAUCCCACCUCCUCUGAGCACCUCUGGAUGUGUUCAGAUUAGAGCAGUCAUUAGUUCCUGGGCUCCAAGUAUCCACCAGUUGCGUGGAGCAUGGCUCCCUCCUCCGCUCUGGGUAUCAGAAGGAGAGUGUGGAGGAAGCUGGGGACUGGGACCCGGACCAGCCUUCAGUACCUUGGCAGUCAGGAAACUUUGUCUCUCCUUCCCUCAAGGAUGCAAAUGAAGAGUGAAAUCCAUUCACCUGCUGAAGUCACUUCUCAGGUGCCCCAGGCAUCCUGGGCCUUCAGUCUUCCUGAGCCCCAUCCCUGGCGUGCUCAAUAAUGCAGCAGGAUCUUGCUCACCAAAGUGUCACCUGUCGGGUGAGUUGUGCCCGUGCCGAUCUGAAGUGACAGCCAUCUUUGAGCACCAGCGGCUCCAAGUGACUUCCCUUUCAUCAUUUGUGUUGGGAAGGGAACAUUUUCGACAAGGUGGUUUCCUCUUCCCCCUGUUCUUUCUUCUUGCCCCUCCCCCUCCCCUCUCCCCACUCUCCGAAGCACCUGAUCAAAACAUUAUCACUGACAAAGGUUUCUCUCUCCAAAUUAAAUGAGUCCAACCAGCCUGGGAAUUCUCAUGAAGAAAGAAAGUACGAGGCUGAUGUGCGUGAAGUUAAUGAAUCUCUGAGCCUGGGUAAUGCGGCCUAGCCGCCUGCCUUCCUCUCGCUCCCUGUAAAGAAUGUAUGGAAGUUAGUUACGUGGCGCGGUUCUAACAUCUGUCCUGCCCCAUAAUGGCAAUUUGUAUAAGUAAUGGAAACAGGUUAAAUACUUCCAUUCUAAUGUUGCCAGCAGGGAUGAAAAUGAACAUUUCAAUGAAAUCAUCUCGACAGAGCCGAGCGGGGAGGGGCGUUGACGGAUUCCUCCACUCCCUUUGGUGAUGGGAGCCUAAUGAGAACGCGGGAUGUAUGGCUUAUCAGAUGGAAGGGGAAGAGCAAGGAAGUCUCAGAGAUGGAAUCGCGGCUGCAGCCAGCACCCCAUCUCCCUGGCAGACCUUUACUAAUAACCUGCUCUUUUCAUUCCAAGGGAGCUGGGGAGGGGGGUCUCUGUGUUCCUCUAAUGGGCUGCCUGCGAGGGUUCUCUCCAGCUGAGAACCACAAGGGUGAUCCUGUCCCCUGGCUGAGGACCCUGUGUAAGAUGUAAAGGGGGAGGAGGGCCUCCUUCUCCUGGUUCCCUUAUAAUUAUGAAUAAUCUGCUUUUAGAAUGGCCUUCUCUUUGCCUGCAGGGUCACUUUACUUCCUGAAGUUGCUCACGUGAAGAACAGCCAUUUUAUGUGAAUUGCUAGUGCUGUUUACAAAGAUCUCUAAAUUGGAACGGAAUUCUUUGUCACAGUGUGCCUUACACACAGGCCUUGUAGUGCUAGCAAGGGAGUUCUGGGCGAUACCAAGUGGCCCACAGCCCCCUGGCUCCAAGCACGUCAGUGUUCAAUGCAGGUUCGCACUGAAACAAUGUGCUCAGGCCGGUAUUUUCCAGUGCCCCGUCUUUCUCCUGCUAGACUGUAUCAUUAUACAUCAACAUGAGUUACAAAUGAGACAGUCAGUUAGCCUGCUACAUUAAGUGGCAAUAUCUGAAUGAUUCCAAGGAUACAAAUCGAGAGCCUGGCAAACACUGAGCAUCUUCGGUUGAAAGAAAGCAUCUUUCACUUUUCCUUGAGGUUUUGCCAUGGCAGGAGCAGACACGGUGUGAGCUGGUGUGAGCUUGUUCCAUUGUGUCAGUGGGCAUUUGGAGUAACUGGCUGGCCCCUGGGAGGUUUUCAGGACAGACAGCCCUGCCUUGCGGAGAGCACAGCAUGUCCAGGGAAGCCUUCUCUUGUUGCCCCUGCUCUUUGAGCAGAGCACACCCUUUAGCUUGUCUCACCAAGGAACAAUGUGAUGACGGGGCAGCACUCUGGGAGCACGUACCUGCCGUGGAGGACAGGCGGGAGGUUCAGUAAGCAACUUCAUCCUAUGCAUAAUGGGGUGCAGAUCAAGACCUAGGAGGGGAUACAGAUUUAACUGCAGACUCGAGGGAAUCUGAAACUUUGCUACAUUUAGCCAUGAAAAAACAGAUACAGCUGUCACUUCUCACCAUCCUCAAAAUGACUGCUGACAAGAGCAAGUCUUGUUUUCUUUAAAGAAAUAAAGAUGUUUUAAACAAUUUACAAUUUGACAAAUAGUUUUUUAUCUAACUUGGGGAAGAUAUGAUGUUUGUGCCUCAUUAUAUAGUUACAGUUUGAGAUGAAAAUAUUUUUUCAGACAAUAUGUGUGUAUUUACACUGUGAACCAUCGGGGCACACAUGGUUGGUGUCAUAUUAAGCUCUAGCAGGGACUGUAUACAUUGCCUUAUGUCCACUUGCAUUAGAAUGCACGGAAUUUCAUGUUACUGGGGAUGACAGCACAUCUUUAGGGACACAUUGGCAUCCAGAAGGCACAUUUUAUGACAAAAAAUAUUAAAUUAUAAACAGUGAAGUCUAACCAUAAGAUCCCCUCGUCCCAUUCCCAUUUCAGGAGUGGUGGGGUCUGUGUAUUUAAACAUUUUUUACUGACACACGUGUGCACACUCUUGGGCACACAGGUGUGCGCUGGGAGUCUGGCUGCUCCCUUCCUGCCCUGGCUCCAGCCAGCUUCCCCUGGGCCUCAAGGUGGCUUCAUGUGCUCCCCCACCCCCACGGACAGGACACACUGUGCCUGUUGGCACCGUCACAUUCUGUACCAUCCCGUAGGCUCCGCAAGGGCGGGGGAGUGACGGCAAAGCUGUUUUGACACAAAAAGAAAUAGCAGAAAUGAUGAUUUGGAGGCUUUGUUUUAUUUGAUGGGAGAAAUGUCAUUUAUUUCUAUAAGUGAUGGUAAAAGAAGAAUUUUAUCCUGCAGUGUCCACUUCCAGGAUGCUCACUCAUCACCCUUCCAUGAUGGGUGGGGUGGCGGGUGUGAUGGCGCAAGGGUGAGGCCUUUCGUGGAGAAAAUGCUGUGGUGGCGACUAUGGGUUCUGCGAUCCAGUGGACUCUCACCUAAGGUUCUUUUAGGCUAAACAACGGUGCUCCUUCACCUUGUGAAGUAUUUUGUUCUCCUACUAUCAUCACUGGAAAUAAAGAUCCUGCUAAUACUAUGACCUAUUCCAGGACAUGCAUACCCUUACGCUCCGUGGGUAUCUGUACAUUGUAGCAUGUAAUGAAAACAGAAGGUUUUUGGAAAGUCUUAGUGUGUAAGCAAACAAAGGGUCAUGAAAAAGAAUGACUCCGGAUAAACUUGUCAAUUUUUAUGUGCCUUUUUCUUCCUGUUUGUCUCUGUCAAGGUAUAAAAUCCUUCUAAAAAAGCAUCUUGGAAAGCAAUUAUGAGCAUUCACUGGUAAGAGUAAAAGUGAACCUUAUUAUUCUGAUAAAAGCUGUGUGUUCUGUUGUGAUAACGUAUAUGUGACUUUUGACCCAUUGUUGUUUUAGGGGGUCUAGGGAAAUCAGGUGCUUUGUGACCCCACGUUUGGUUUCAAAUGUGAAGCGGUCCGAGGGAAGGGCUUGCUCCUGGUGCAUCCUAGUAGUGAUGACGUGCAUCUGUCUGACCUCAGCAUGGCUCAAGACACAAGUCCCUUAAUUUGGUGCUCAAAGUUGGCCUCUAAGGUACUUGCCCAUGUCAGUUGCUCACCUCGGCACCCUGAUCACCAAGGGUCGGCAUUCCCGUUUGUCUUCCUUGUCUUAAGUAUUUAGGAGUCUGGUUUUCUCCGUUUUGAAAUGGAGGCUCCGAUCUGAGGCCUGAGACCUGGGCGAGUUUGGGAGAAUGUGACAACCCCUCUCUCUGCCUCUUGCUCUCUUGUCCCAAGACCCCUAACUGGGACCUGCAGAAGUUCAGUUUGCAGAAGCAGACUGGCCCUGAGCUGUGGGAGAGGGUGGACGGCUGCGAGGCGGCGGAGGGUGAGGUGCUGGUUCUCGGGUUCAGGUGUGCAGCUCUGAAGCUGCUUGCUCUGCUUGUUUCUUAACGCUGGGUUCCACUGUUGGAAGAGGUGCUUCCUGUACACGUCUUGCAUCAGGUGAGUCCUGCUCGCUCAUGAAAGUCGUUUCUACUUCCCGGAGGUGAGAUCAUGACCCGUGCUUAGGGUCUAUUGAGCUUCCCAAGAUCAGGUGCGUAGACCCAGACUCCUUAUGCUCUUUCUGGAUGGGGUUUGUCCUCCUCAGAGAGGGCAGUGGCCAAGGACAUGUGAUUUCCCGGUGUGUGGCACUGGGUCUGCACGCCUUGCGAGGACCAGCUCAGUCAGCAGAGGGGUAUGCGUAUCAGUGGUAGAGAGGGCACAGCACCCACUCGGAUAUUCACGAGAGCGGCUUACCUUUCGCCCUUCUUACUUCAUUAGAACUCUACUUUUCCCAGAUUCUCAUGUAUUUCUCCUCUUGUGCUUUCUGACACCACUGAAAGCCAGGGAAACCUUUCCACUGGGGUUCGCCUGUGUGGUGCUUUGCACUGCUGUAACACGCAGCUGGCUGGAGGCAAAAGAUCAGCAUCUAAUACGCUGAUGGGAAGAGCAGGAAGGGCCUUAAAUGAGGUUUCUUAUUUCUCACUUAAUUUGAGAUUGAAUUCUGGGGCAGUGAGCGAAUUUAUUUUGGGAUAGUUACCUGUGGAUUCCUAAUUAAAACUGGUAUUGGGAAAAAACAGAGAUCAUUUUAUUUACACACCCUGCAAUUCUUAAAAAUGGCUUCUCCUGGGGCUCAGGUGAUGUGAUAGUUCUGUUACAGAUCAAAUGCCUAAGCAAACCAGAACAUUAACGGUGGGUACGAGGAGCUAAAAUUUGCCAAAGUGAUAGAAAACUUUUUGUUCUUGUCACCUUAGAGCAGAAGUAGCCCUUUCAGCUUUGCUUUGCAGGGUGGCAGCCCCCUGCAAGAAAUCGGGACGGUGUUGGUAAAUUAAUUCAUCUUGCUCACACUUUUAUGUUCUUUCCGGGCUAAGAAGGCACGUGUUCUGCCUGUAUCUGCUUUCUCUGCAUUUUUCUUUCCUGAUAUAUUCUGACUUUCAUCAAAACCACCUGCUUUCUCCAUGAUGAAGGUGGAGUUACUUUACAAGUGAUCAAUUAUAAAUUUGGGAGAAGGUGUGUUUUGCAAGAUUCUGCAGUGAAUCGAAGGCAUACAUUCAUCACUUAGGUGUGUGCAAACCCCUUUUGUGAAUUGGCCCCUUGGAGUAAAUGUAUUUUGAUAUAGUGGCCAUCUGCUCAUGGGUAUCACAUUUGCUAGUCUAAAAAAAAUAGUUUGAUGUAGAUAAACAUGUAAUUUGGUAUGAUCAUAUAGUUUCACCAGGUGGCAAUACAAUAGCCAAGUUUGGUUUUUACGGUAAGGCAGUGGCCAGGCAGAGACUGAAGACUUGCAUUUUGUAUUUGUCACUUUUAAAUAUUCAUUUUCCUCCUUCACAGCCAACUCUCAAUUAUGCGCACUGAUCAGGAAAGCUGAGAGUAGGUGAACCCGGUCCCCACACCUCCCGCUGCCAGCUGCCUCCCGCAGAGAGCAGAACUGCCGCCUGGCCCGGGUACCUGCUGCUCCCCUCUCUCCACCCUUCUUUGGCAGAUGUCCUCAGUCCACGAAGCUGCUGAAAGGCAGAGGGACGGGGAAGGAGAAGGGGCCCGGAUGAUCAGCUGGCCCCCAUUUGCUGUCUGCCUGUCAGGUGGCCUUGGGUCGGCUUGCAUGAGACAGGCAAACUGCUGUCCCCUUCCUAUUGUUUCUGCUUAGAGGUGCUCACAGUGGCUCUGGUGGCAGGAGGCUAAGGGGCUGCUCCUGUGGUGGGGCAAAGGCAGCACACCUGUGCACAGACCACACUCCUGUUCAAGACUGAGGCCAUGAGACGUGGUGCCUGAUGAGGCUGCUCCCUGGCUUGCAGAAGCCCUUCCUUCUGUGUCCUUAUGUGGAAGGUGCCACCGGCUCUCUGCACGAGCCUACCCUGGGGACUCCACCCUCUUGACCUGAGCGCCUGCUGGUGCUCUCACAGAGAAAUCCUGGGGGUGCAACCUCUAGACCACAGCAGCAGAUAAACAGAGCUGGGCUUCAUGAGGACCCUGAUUCUUUCAUCUCCAUGAAUACUCCUGCAGUCCCCAGAGCCACCCUCAUUGCCAUGUGUGCUGCUGGGGACCCAGAAGCCUGAGGGGUGCAAUGGCGUGGGGGCCCACCCUAUCUAUAUCACUGAGCUGUGGUCCCCGGGCUGUGGUCUCCAGCCCGUGCCUUCUGUGUACUCUCCCCAUGUCACACUGCUCGUGGGGAUCACUCCUUGCAUAGGCAACCGCAGUGGCACUGCAUUUGCCUCGGCCUGUCAAGACAAAUGUGCAUCCAUCUCUCCUGUCCCUGCUGCUCUGUGUCCAGGCUGCCUGGGGAGUACCUCUCUCUUUGGAUCAGCCUCUCUGCCCAGGGUCGCUGAUGGAGCCGCUGUGUGUGACAGUGUAGGCUGGUAGGGACUGGUCUCCAGAAGUCUCUGCCCAUUCCUCCCUGACACGGACACAGCAUAUCCGAGCACUCCUGUGUCCAGACCCUGGGCCUGGGCUGGAGAUUUCCACCCGUACAGCCUUCUUGUACCAACCUUCUUGUUCUUCCCAGGCCGACACUCUUGAGAUGAAACCCAGGUGGCUGUGGCUCCUUCCAAGGAGUUCUUGCCCUGGGAGGGACAGACUCUUGUCACCCACUUUUGGAAGGGUAGGGGCCUUCCUGGGUGGUCCUGGGGGCAGAGCCGGGCACUGGCGUGCUGCAUUAGAAGAAAGGCGUCUGAAGGGCAGAGCAGCUUGGAAGUCCAGCUCUGCUGCCUGCUGGCUGAGCUGAGGGAGGGGGCUCAGCCCCCGGUGUUCAGAACAACAUGGAAAAGUAGAGGGCCAAGUGCCGCCUGGGGUGCGCCUGAGAAGUGCUGGGGCAGGUGCUCUGGAUGUUAUUACUAUCAUAACUGGACUUUGGAACUAAGCCCUCCCAGAAGGGUCUUGGAAUGGAGGGUGGAAGGGCAAGGUGAGUCUGGUGGACACCCACAGAAUCAGUCUGGAACAUUCCAUGGCAUUUCCUCCUGUUCCUGUCUCUGUGGGGCUGUUGAACCCCUCCUAUCCACUAAAGGCUGUGGCUGCCCACUGUUUGUGCCCUUCUGUGGUCAGGAAGCCUCAGAGUAAGAGCUAGCCUGACCUGCCCUUUGGCUGCAGGCGCACAGGACGGGCAGUAGCAGCGCUGUCCGGGAUGGGUCCAUGAGCAAGGUGGGGGACACGCUUCCGUGGGGAGAGUGGGUGGCCGCUUCCCAGGGUCAGAAGGCGGCUUUAGGUCCAUGGUCUAAAGUAUGGGGUGGCGGACAGAAGCCCCGAGGCUGCCCUGAGUGGGUCUGUGCUUCUUUGUGUGUCGUGUAAAUUCUUGACAGAGUUGAAGAAUACAUGUGACCAGCUCAGAGGACGUCACAGAUGGUAAAAUAGCUGAGGGAGAGAAGCACAGGACUGAGUACCCAGAAGAGCAUGCGAAAGUCCAACUGCUGCAGGGUUCAGAAGGAGCUUAUGUUCCCGAGGAAGAGUUGAAGGCAGCAGAAAUAGAUGGAGAGCACGUGGAGGAUGGUGGGCUGUCUUUGGACAUCCAGGAGGGCGAAUUUGUGUGUGAUGAAGAGACAGAAAUCAAAGAG